AUAAAAAUUAAUUAUUAGUUUUUAUAGUAUAAAGUUUUUUAGUUUAAAGAAAAAAAUAAUUUUUUAUUAGAAUUUUUUAAAAAAAUAUUUUUAUAAUAGUUUAUUAGUAUUGAGAAAGAAUUAUUUUAUUAUUUUAAAAGAAGAAUUUAUUUUUUGUACCUUGUGUAUCAGGGUUGAUUAAUUAAAAUUUUGAUAAAUAAAAUUUCUCGAAUUUAGAAGAUUUAUUUAUAUAUAUUUAUUAUUGUAGAAUAAAUAUAUUUAAUAUAUGAAUGGAAAUGAAAUGUUUACGUUUCUAAAUAUAUCUAGUUUUUUAAGAAAAAAAUUUAAUUUUAUUUUAAAUAAAGUGUUUAAUUAAAGUGUUUAAUUUUUCAUUAUUUAAAUUUUAUAGUUUAAGGGAUGAGCUUUAAACUAAAUAUUUAUAGUUUAUUAUAUAUUAUUUUAAUUUGUAGGAUUAAAAGUUUCUAUACUAGUGUGUUUUAACUAUUUAAGAUUAUAUUUUGAUUUAUAUAGUAUUUAUUUUUUUUAUUAAAAUAAAAUUUUUAAUUUUAUAAAAUUUGUAAGAAUGAUUAAAUUAGUAUAUUUAGUUUUAUUUUUAUAAUUUUUAGUUAGGUAUGGUAAAGGAAUUCGGCAAAUUGAUUUUUCACCUGUUUAUUAAAAACAUGGCCUUUUGAUUAUAAUUUAAGGUCUGACCUGCCCUAUGAAUAUUAAAUGGCUGCAGUACUUUGACUGUGCAAAGGUAGCAUAAUCAUUAGUUUUUUAAUUGAAAGCUGGUAUGAAGGGUUUGAUGAAGGAAUAGCUGUCUCUAUCAUAAUUUAAUAGAAUUUUAUUUUUAAGUUAAAAAGCUUAAAUUUAAAUUAAAGACGAGAAGACCCUAUAGAGUUUUAUAUUUUUAAUAAAUAAGAUAUUUUUAGUAUUUAUAAUGUUUAUUUAUAAAAAAUAUUUAGUUGGGGUGAUUGAAAAAUUUAAUAAACUUUUUUUUAUUUUUACAUUUAUUUAUGAUUAAAUGAUCCCUUAGUUGGGAUAAGAAGAUUAAAUUACCUUAGGGAUAACAGCGUAAUUUUUUUUUAGAGUUCAAAUUAAAAAAAAAGUUUGCGACCUCGAUGUUGGAUUAAAAUUUAUUUUUGGUGUAGAAGCUAGGAAAUUUGGUCUGUUCGACCUUUAAAAUUUUACAUGAUCUGAGUUUAAACCGGUGUGAGCCAGGUUGGUUUCUAUCUUAAUUUAUGAAAUAGAUUUUAGUACGAAAGGACCAAAUUUGUAGUUUAAAAUUUUAAUUAGAAUAUUAUUAAUUGAUUUA
rnacentral:rRNA from 1 species